GCGGAAGAGAUCUAGGGUUCCGGUCCUUCGGGACGACUGGUCCAAGAGGUUUCAGCCGGCUCGCCGGCGCACGGAGGGAUAAAAGCCCGGGAGAC
rnacentral:sRNA from 1 species